rnacentral:lncRNA from 1 species
GUGUCCUGGCUGGAACCAAUGCAGCAUUUGAUGCUCUUGGACGUGGUACAUGCGACUGGAAGGCCAAGUGUGUCGCAUUUGGUGCAGAUGGUGCUAAAGUCAACAUGGGUGUGCAUAGGGGAGUGAGUGCUCUACUCAAACAGGCAGCCGGACAGCAUGUAAUUCCCAUUCAUUGCAUGCCUCACAGGUUGGAGUUGGCCAUUCUCAACCUGCAGCGCAAUGAGACAAUGGUGGCCAAAGUCUAUGACCUUCUCCAUCUUGUGUGGAAGACAUACCAACAGAGCCCUAAAUCCAGGCGUGAGCUGAACCUGAUUGGAGAAGAGCUAGGUGUGAGGGUCUGCUCUCCUUCGAGCGUGAAAGGGACGCGGUGGAUUCCCCAUGUACACCGGGCACUGAGUGUGUUCCUUCGUGCAGCAAAAGAAGGGAGUCUGUCAACUGACAGUGGUCAGUAUUCGGCUGUUUUGCGCCACAUGGACCACCUUGCCUCCUCAGCAACCAGUGCUGAAAUUCAAGGGCGUGCAAAGAAGGGUGUACCACUCUCAGGAGAUGUCACAGGAAUGCAGCAGAGGCUACAGAGAAACAUCACCUCUGUCAUCACCACCACUGUGGAAGCCAUUAACACCAGAUUCGGCAGUCUCAUCAAUGAGGACUCCGAAGACUACUCUGCAGUGAAUUGCAUGAAAAUCUUUCAUCACGACACCUGGCCUGAGAAUACCAAUGAACUGGUUGAUUAUGGAAACGAUCAGUUGGAGGCCCUAAUGGAGCAUUUUCGUCAUGUCCUUACAAGCUCUGGAUGUCAGAUGGAUGCUUUGCCAGGGGAAUGGCAGAGUUUGAAGACCCUUUUAAAUUACUCUUACAGAACAUCAUACACCUUGUGGACAUACUGUUGGUCCUCCCAAUUUCUUCUGCACAGUGUGAGCGGGGCUUCUCUGCGCAGAAACGCCUCAAAAGCUCUUUGAGGAGCUGCUUGCAUGUCUCCACCACAGAGGAUCUUAUCAGGAUCACUACAGAGGGCCCCUCACUUGAAUUAUUUGAUCCCACUAAAUGUGCCGAAAACUGUCUGUCAGCUGGAAAAAGGUCACGUCGACCCAACUACAAGUCAUGGCCAAGUGAUUCCGAGUCCGACAUGAUUUUUGUGUAGCCUAAAUGUGAUAUUUUCUAUUUAUCUUUUUAGUAAAUCGGUGCUGUUUUGUGUAGCCUAAAUGUAAUCUUGUCUAUUUGUAUUAAUUUAGUUUUAGUAAGUUGGUGCUGUUGGUGCGGUUGGUGUGUGCAAUUUCUGCACCCUAAUAAAUGUUCUGAACAAAAACCUAUUGUGCCCCCGUUUUUUUUCCGGUGCUCCUACAUUUUUUAUCUUAGGGGCACGAGUGCUCCUGAAAAAAAAAGUUAGCGUAGAGCCCUGACCACAAGUAUAUAACUAUUAUAACUCCCAACUAGACGACCCCAAGCUUUCUAAGUAGCCGAUCUACUGUUUUCCCCUCAUCCAGCUCAAGAGUCCCCUUAAUUGUCUGCCCCCACCAGACGAGACCAAAUUUGCCUUGCAACAAUAGGGUAAUUGAAUAGCCGUUCAAAACCCCUCUUGACUUUAACAUUCAUACUGAAUCAGAGGUAUCUAAUACAUUUAUAUACACCC